rnacentral:rRNA from 1 species
UCCGUAGGUGGAUCAAUCAGUCAGAGGUGAAAUCCUGCAGCUUAACUGUAGAACUGCCUUUGAUACUGUUGAUCUUGAGUCAUUAUGAAGUGGUUAGAAUGUGUAGUGUAGCGGUGAAAUGCAUAGAUAUUACACAGAAUACCGAUUGCGAAGGCAGAGCACUAAUAAUGUACUGACACUGAGGGACGAAAGCGUGGGGGGCGAACAGGAUUAGAUACCCUGGUAGUCC